CCCUUAGAUGUUCUGGGCCGCACGCGCGCUACACUGAUGCAUGCAACGAGUUCUAUCCUUGGCCGGAAGGCCUGGGUAAUCUGUGAAUGUGCAUCGUGAUAGGGAUAGAUUAUUGCAAUUAUUAAUCUUGAACGAGGAAUUCCUAGUAAACGCAAGUCAUCAGCUUGCAUUGAUUACGUCCCUGCCCUUUGUACACACCGCCCGUCGCACCUACCGAUCGAAGGUAAUGAUGAGCCCUCAGGAUUGUGGCCUCGUCGCGUCAGCGUCUUGGCUGCGAGAAUCUGUGCAAAUCCCUACCUUUAGAGGAAGGUGAANUCGUANCA
rnacentral:rRNA from 1 species